CAUGGAAACAGAAUUUCUUUACAAUAUCAUACCAGACAUACCUCCAAGUGCUAGAGAACAUUUAUGAAAUUGAUAUUGUGUCUAAACUCAGCAGAGAAGAGGUGAGAAGAGAGAUCCAUCAGGGGAAUGUUUUGCAAAGCGUAGUCUUGAUGCACAGCAAUGCCUCCCUGCUCUGGCUCUCGUCUCUUCAGUCAAACAAAGGACAUGGAUGAUGAAGUGAAUUAUUCUCUGACAGGAUUAAAGCAGCUGAAAUUUUAGAACGAUGGUACCAAAACGAAUGGGAGGAUUAAAUGGAUAAAAACAGUAAUCCCCUCAGAGGCACCAUUCAACUCCUGCAUUACAGAAGUAACUCUAACACAGUAUGAAGAAUUCGAGGGAAAUUGCAGCUUGACCUUUGAAAUACCAAACUCAUCUUAUUCCUGCAGACAAAGAAGUUGAAGAAAGUUUUUGUCAACCUCUUCACAUGAGGGUGUAUUUCAAGCUUGUUCAGUAAAAAAGCCUCACAGUGCAAGUCCUUGUCUGGCAAGAUAACAGCCUGAGUCCAGUGUGCUGGUGGAAUACUAAUUAAUCUCUUCAUUCAGGUUUUCCUGUUUUCAUCUUAUUUUUUUCUCUCUCUUUUUUCCCCCCACUAUUUUUUUUCUCUCAAGAAGACUGAAUAUUUAGCAUGUCACCAACAUUCCCUGUGCUUUGCUG